AGCUUUGCGCAGUGGCAGUAUCGUAGCCAAUGAGGUUUAUCCGAGGCACGAUUAUUGCUAAUUAAAAACCACUGAAUGGGCAGCCCCGGUGGCUUAGCGGUUUGGCGUCGCCUUCAGCCUGGGGUGUGAUCCCAGAGACCUGGGAUCGAGUCCCACGUCGGGCUCCCUCCAGGGAGCCUGCUUCUCCCACUGCCUGUGUCUCUGCCUCUCUCUCUCUCUCUGUGUCUCUCAUUAAUAAAUAAAUUUUUAAAAACUUUUUAAAAAA
rnacentral:snRNA from 1 species